CCCCCGUGUGAUGAGCACACAGCUGCAGCAUAGCAAGAACCCAGGGGCUCUGGUGAAGCCAACACACGGGUCAUCAGGGUUCCCUCAGACUGGUGCCCUCUGUUGGCACCCAUCUCUGAGCCCCAUGGGCCACAUGUGGGCAGGACCUGGAAAGAACCUUGGCUGCAGAGGACUGAGGGGG